GGUUCCCUUUGGCCUUGACGAACCAACUUGAACAGGUUGUGGUGGCUGAAUGACAAUUUGCUGCUGCAUCGGUAAAGUUUGUCAGCCCAUUCAAGCUCUCGUGUUGUAUAUAAGAACAGUUUGUAUGGUAAAACAACGUUAAGAAUCACAUGGACGAGUCCUGGUAAUAAAAUUACUUACGGCUGAGGAGCAUAAACUAGGCCAGUGUUUGGAUCGUAAGGGACAAAUUCUCCACCAGGGCCGGGGGUGUUUGCUGAGGGUGGCAUCGGAUAUGGAUGGCUGGGAAGCAUAUAAGGCCUAGUCGAGUUCAUGUCUAAAACGAAAUAAUUGUCUGUUAAUUCAAAGUAUUGUAUCACUCUGAAAAAUGUAUAGCCAUGAAUAUAUUCAUUCAUUAUAAAAGCGUUAUUUGUCAUUUUUUUAAAUGAACAUCUUUGGACUAAAUGUAAAACACUUGACCAUGUGAAGUCAUUCCAAGCUUUAAAGGAACUGUAAGUCUUUUAUGAUGUACUAUAGUUAUUCUUGAGCUAAUGAUUAAAUAUACCUUGAGAUGGCA